GGGGGUGAUAUGGGUUCGACGGGGAGAGGUGUAACUUGGGAUGCAUGCCGGUUCGCCGGAACCGUAUAAACGGCAACAAAAUGUAAAUGCAGAUGAAAAUCUCGCAUACGCUGCUUAAUUAAGUUUAAGCGGCUGUCCUCUCAUCCCGUGCCUGCGGGGGUGUAGCAGGGCAUCAUUUGAGCAGGCUUUUCCGUCUCUUUUCGCUCCGGACAGAGAUGGAGAACCUCACGGAGCUCGCCCUCCUCCGGUUCGGACGGUUUCCACGGGGAGGGUCAGAAUCAAAACCGCCCUAAGCAUGUAGAUUCCCCUGGGAGCCCUCUUCGGACGCGGGUUCGAUUCCCGCCACCUCCAUCA
rnacentral:tmRNA from 1 species